rnacentral:rRNA from 1 species
UUCGCCCUUUACCGGUGCGGGCCGUGAAAGCGGUAGCCUGGAGAUGGGCACUGAGACAAGGGCCCAGGCCCUACGGGGCGCAGCAGCUACGAAAACUCUGCUAUGCGCGAAAGCGCGACAGGGCUACCCCGAGUGCCGUCCGCUGAGGAUGGCUUUUAUUCGGCGUAAGUCGAAGGAAUAAGGGGAGGGCAAGCCUGGUGUCAGCCGCCGCGGUAAUACCAGCUCCUCAAGUGGUGGGGAUGAUUAUUGGGCCUAAAGCGCCCGUAGCCGGUUCGGUAAGUCUUCUGUUAAAUCCAACGACUCAAUCGUUGGACUGCGGGAGAUACUGCUGGACUAGGAGGCGGAAGAAGCCGACGGUACUCUUAGGGUAGGGGUGAAAUCCUAUAAUCCUAAGAGGACCACCAGUGGCGAAGGCGGUCGGCGAGAACGCGCCCGACGG